rnacentral:rRNA from 1 species
UACGUAGGGGGCAAGCGUUGUCCGGAAUCAUUGGGCGUAAAGCGCGUGUAGGCGGCUUGGUAAGUCUGCUCUGAAAGCCCGGGGCUCAACCCCGGGAGGCGGGUGGAUACUGUCAAGCUCGAGUCCGGAAGAGGAGUGUGGAAUUCCUGGUGUAGCGGUGAAAUGCGCAGAUAUCGGAGGAGACACCAGUGGCGAAGGCAGGCUGCUGG